GACGUCAAGAUGGCGGCCGCAUCUAAGUGCCUGGAGCCGUGUUGGAAACCGUGGUUACCACAGUAAAUGCCAGCUUUCGCAGAUGGCCAGCGGACUGCUGCUGAAAUUACAUGCUCCAAAACCUCUUUCUCUUUUUAAUGGGGCAGCCUCCCAUGUGAAGAAACUUGGCCUUUCCAGUUUCCUCUCCAGAGAAAAUGAGAUUCCCCAGAGAACCAAGACCUGCAAAGACCCACAGAGGUGCAGCAUCACAAAGGCCUUAAAAUGCAUUGAGGAAGUACAAUCAUGAGCCUCACAUGGACAAAUUUCCAGAAGCAGACAGAAUCACUGGAGCGUGAUGAGUCAAAACGCUGGUAUAAAUAGCAUCAGCAAGGCGAAUCAUGAAUAAUGAAGGAGCCGCCCGUCCCACUGGAGCACAAGUCAUAGGCCUCAAAUAAUGUCAACACACAGUAACAAGGUCUUGUGUCUUACACAAAGCAUCCCCACUCUAAUGAAUACUUCAAAACCUUUCAUCGUCUGGGUGGGCUGGAUGGCCAGACUUUACAGUGGCACCUACAAAGACUGACUUUGUAUGUGAGAUUGUACACAUGAAUAGGCUACUGUGACUUUGACCAUCUUGUGUAUUUGGCACAGAUGGCAAACAUGCAUAAAAACCACAUAUAUUUUCCUCCUUUGACUUGCUCAAGCACGUGCUUGGGGAUAUAAUUAUUGUUUUGGUUGUAUAAAAGCUUAGCUUGAGGCGUAGUAGUAGAAAUUUAGUCUAAACCCAAAAAGUUCCCUCUUAAAAUCUUAAAGCGUACUUGCUUCAACAAGAAUUCAUAAGCAAACAUAAAUCACUGUCUUUUUCAAACAGAAAAAUAUAAUUUUCUGCAUCAUAAUUCUGGUCUUUCGUCACAUGAUCCUUCAGAAAUCAGUUUGAUCUUCUGAUUUAAUGCAUUUCUCAUUAUUAUCAGUGUUGAAUUGAGUUUAAAGAGAAGACUUUAUUUGAUACAGAUAUAAUUUGUAAUAUUAUCCACCUGAUUUUUCAACGUAGAAGUAAGCUGUUUUCUAUGAAUGUGUGAGACUUCCGGCUGCUGUAGGGGAAUAACUAUAAGAAUAACAGUAAGUUAAACACAAAAACUGUUUGCACUCCAAACCAGUUUGUUUAUAAGUAAGAUAAUACAUUAAAAUUUGCACCAGUUUGCAAUAUCAAGCAGCCAAACGAGCUGUUUUGUACAGCUAAUAAUUGCUGGAAGCGGAUGAGACCGGGAAGGCUCGCACAUAAAAUUUACAAAUGGCCACCUCCGCUCUAAGGGGAAAAAUAAGGUGAAUAAAAUGUCUU
ensembl:lncRNA